UUACACAUAGUCUCCAGCUUGGUGCCCAUAUAAGCAACCUUGUAGGUUUCCUCUUUAUCUUCAAAUGUCACCUGAAAUCUUUUCCUGCUGCCAUGGACCAUUUCCUUCCUCCAGCCCCAUCAGCGUUGAGGGGGGACUGGACACAAAUGUCAAAGACAGCAGUGCUGGAAACAGCCCCCAGAAAGCUAACGCAGAGCCCGCCACACAAAACAACACAGUGACAGUCCUUGCCCUGUGUGGUUCAUCUUGUCUCUCGAAACCUGUGUGUCUCAGGAGGUUCUGAGAUGGAGUCAGCAGGGAACGCAGCAAAGAUGGAGAAGGUGAAGAAGACUGAGAAGGGAAAUAAGGUCCAGAAGUCACCUCACCCUGUGGGCGCUUUGGUCCAGACCUCUGUCUUGCAUGGCAGGGAGCCAGCACGCCCCUCCCCAGGACCCCAAGAAUGGAGGCCCACGACUCUUGCCCGGAGUGGGGAACGAAGACGCCCAUGGAGACUGACUCUCCAGGGCCCAGCAUGGCUGCAGCCAAUGCCAGCAGGGACCCAGCAGCAGACCUGACUCUGGGCCCCCGUGGUCCUGACUUCACCUGUUGCCGUGAGGCUGGCUGCCUGCGAUGACGCACCUCCCGCCCCUGCUCUCAGGAGGGGAGAAGCAAGUCUCAGCUCCCAGCUGUGAGGGCCAGCGAGGCCGGACCUCUGGCAGGUUAGUAAAUUGCACGUCUGACCCAGCCUCGCAGAGGCUCACUUUCUCUCCUUUCCAUGCUGACUUUCUCACUGUUAAAGAGCAUGUUUAAAAAGAAGACAAGAAAGGCAGACAGAAGAAGGAAGAGGGGAGAGGAAAACGCCUGGACAAACUUCCCACUUCCCGCCACCACCCAGACGUCUGAGUGAAGAGCCGAAAAAUGCAGACACGUGAAGGGGCCAGAUUCAGCCUCAGACCUGCCUGCAGGGAUCGAACCUGUGCCCUCUGCAGUGCAAAUGCCAAGGAAUCACUGGACCGCGAGGGAAUUCUUUUCAUCUUUCUUAAGAGGAAACUGGCUCAGGGGAGUUAAAAAUGGGCCCACGAUGUCACAGAGGAGGUUCUAGGAUCCUGUAGAUCUGUCUGACUCUGACCCAGCACUAGAUGGUACAUGUCUGGUGCUGGGGGCCCAGUCCUCUGAUUUUAGAGAGACAGGGUGACCCAAGCCUCUGAGGGUGGGCUGGGCUCCUCGGGGUCCAGGAUGGGGCCCAGCAAUAUCAGAACAGGGGCAUCCUCAAUCAGUGUGGCUCAGCUGGGUCUCCCCAUAACAUGGUCUGUCUCCUCCCUCCAACCUAUUCCCAGACAGUGGGCCUGGACGGAACACUGCUCUGUUGCUAAGGCCAGGGGUCAGAGAGGAAAGGAGCGGCUGGACUUGGGGUGAUGGGGAAGGACAGGGAGGCACGUGCCUCUCCCCCAGUGGGGCUGGGAGAGUUUUGGAGGCUGGUUGGAUCUUUCUAGGAACUCUGCUGGUGCUUUACAAGUGGAGUUACCUAUUCUGGGCUUACCUAUUCUUGACUUAUCUAUUCUGUUUUUUUCAUAGAAAUGCAGGCUUUGGUGAAGACAGCCUCAUGAACCACAGGUCAGGGGCUUAUUGGGAUGUCUGAACAAUCACAUAUGAGUGAGUCACUUAUGAUAUUUACCUGUUGGCUUCACUCGCUUACUUAUCUUAUUAAAGAAUGUCUACUCACAAGAUAGAAGCAAAAAUCACACACAAUUGGGAGCAAAAUUUGCAGACUACAACAUGAAUAAUUAAAGACUUUUAAAAAUGUGUUUCUCUCCAAAAGAUGUGCAUGCGUGCUCAGUCGCUUCAAUCGU